UAUGGAUGUUCUCUUUAAUUAGGCAACUGAUGACACUCAAGGCAGAGGAAUAUUAGAAGCUAGAGGCUGAUGGCGUAGACACUUUGUGACUAUUGUUAGCUGGCAGCAGCUGCACACUUUCAGAAAUAUUUGGAGAGUUAGGCGAGAACUUUGCCUCUCAACUGCCAUGCUUAGCACUAGCAAUCAAAUUAUCCCUCAAAUGGAGACUCCAUCUCAAAUGGAUGAUGAUGGCACAAGAGUGUACUCACUUGAUACGGUCACAUAGACAAAUAAGCGAUGUCCAAGCUCAGCAAAUUGUGUUCGCUGAUUAUGCAUGCCUCACGCAGAGACAGCAACAUGACUUGUCUAGUGUACAGGUUGGGGGAAGAGAAAAUGUUGGUUAUACGAGGGUUGAUCUAAAAAACUAUCUUCGCAAUAAACAAGGGAGAGACAUGGAGUUUGGAGAUGCAAGAUGUUUAUUGAGGUACUUC